GACAGAGGGGCAAGCGUUGCUCGGAAUCACUGGGCGUAAAGGGCGCGUAGGCGGGAUGGCAAGUCAGUCGUGAAAUCUCUCGGCUCAACCGAGAAACGUCGGCUGAUACUGCCGUUCUUGAGGGAUGCAGAGGAGACUGGAAUUCCCGGUGUAGCGGUGAAAUGUGUAGAGAUCGGGAGGAACACCGGUGGCGAAGGCGGGUCUCUGGGCAUCUCCUGACGCUGAGGCGCGAAAAGCGUGGGGAGCAAACGGG
rnacentral:rRNA from 1 species